CUUCAUUGUGUGUCUUUAUCACUAGAAGGUCAAUUCCAUGAGACAGGGACUUUGCUUGUCUUGGUCACCAUGUAUCCUCAGUGCUUCGAACAGGACAAUGGUACAUGGUAGUGUUCAAUAAACAGUUGAAUGGAGUGAAUGGACUUACAGAUAAAUAUAUUUUAAAGGUAUGUCAGUAUAUGUAUAUAUAUGAAAAUUUAGGAAUUAUACAAUUUUGGACCAGUAAGGAGACAUGAUCUCCUUUAAUUUGUUGUUGCUACGGUUAUAUUUGUUAUAUAGUUUAAAGAGGUAAACACUAAGCUUUGACUGAUAUUUUUGAUUGUUAUAUUAUAGAUACCUUAUUAUUGCAUUUAAUGGUAGAGUGAUCAAGGUUGUAAGGUAGGGAAAACGAUUAUUUUGUUUUCUCAAAGGUUUUUGGAAACUCUGAAGAAAAUAAGCAGAUUACACGUAAAUGGAGUAGCUUUUCACUCUUGUUUGAAGUAUCCUACUUGAAUUUGAGAUUGGAAAAGUUAAGAUGCUCAUACUAAAAGAAGUGAUACAUAUGCUUCAAAUCUCUUUGAUAUAUAGAGACAUGGACACCAACUAACUGUGGUGUGAAGACUCCUUUGAAAAUUGGACUUCCACAGUAGAGCUUAACGGGUAAAAGCAUGCAUUUAGGAGUAAGCAGGGGGCCUGAACUUUGGUGUUAUCAGUAACCAGCUAUGUAACCAUGGGUCAAGGCUAUUGCACAAACACAGUCAGACUUCAUUAGAACAAGCAUGGAAAUCUGAGAUGUAACAUGUGCAUCAGGCACUCACAUGGCACAGCCUGGCAGCUGUCCCUGAGGACAUCAAAUACAGCUCAGAGUGAAAGGUUACUCAGCUUCUCAAACUCAGCCAUAGACCAUGAGAAGUUCUCAGGAAGAUAAAGGCCAAUCUGAAAGAUGAAAAGGUAUCAGAGGCAUGCAGGCACAGAGAAAAAGCCAUUUGAGGCCAUCCUCAAGAAGAAGCCAUCUGUAAGCCACAGAGUGGGGCCUUAGGAGAAGCCAAGCUGUCAGCACCUUGAUCUUGGACUUCCAGCCUC
rnacentral:lncRNA from 1 species